ensembl:snRNA U6 U6 spliceosomal RNA
GCACUCGCUUCGGCAGCACGCGUACUGAAACUGGAACGAUACACAGAUGAGCUUGGCCCCUGCGCAAGGAUGACACGCACAUUCAUGAAGCGUUCCAUAUUUUA